rnacentral:rRNA from 1 species
AGCGGCGGAUGGGUGAGUAACACGUGGGGAACCUGCCCCUAAGUCUGGGAUACCAUUUGGAAACAGGUGCUAAUACCGGAUAAUAAAGCAGAUCGCAUGAUCAGCUUUUGAAAGGCGGCGUAAGCUGUCGCUAAGGGAUGGCCCCGCGGUGCAUUAGCUAGUUGGUAAGGUAACGGCUUACCAAGGCGACGAUGCAUAGCCGAGUUGAGAGACUGAUCGGCCACAUUGGGACUGAGACACGGCCCAAACUCCUACGGGAGGCAGCAGUAGGGAAUCUUCCACAAUGGACGCAAGUCUGAUGGAGCAACGCCGCGUGAGUGAAGAAGGUUUUCGGAUCGUAAAGCUCUGUUGUUGGUGAAGAAGGAUAGAGGUAGUAACUGGCCUUUAUUUGACGGUAAUCAACCAGAAAGUCACGGCUAACUACGUGCCAGCAGCCGCGGUAAUACGUAGGUGGCAAGCGUUGUCCGGAUUUAUUGGGCGUAAAGCGAGCGCAGGCAGAAAAAUAAGUCUAAUGUGAAAGCCCUCGGCUUAACCGAGGAACUGCAUCGGAAACUGUUUUUCUUGAGUGCAGAAGAGGAGAGUGGAACUCCAUGUGUAGCGGUGGAAUGCGUAGAUAUAUGGAAGAACACCAGUGGCGAAAGGCGGCUCUCUGGUCUGCAACUGACGCUGAGGCUCGAAAGCAUGGGUAGCGAACAGGAUUAGAUACCCUGGUAGUCCAUGCCGUAAACGAUGAGUGCUAAGUGU